GCCACCUAUAAAGAGCUCCGGAUCUUGG
rnacentral:sRNA from 1 species